rnacentral:piRNA from 1 species
UCCAAUGUUAAUGCCAAGAAGCAGCUGC